GCUGGGGGCAUAGUAACUACAGGCUGGGGGCAUAGUAACUAGAGGCUGGGGGCAUAGUAACUAAAGGCAUAGUAACUAAAGGCUGGGGGCAUAGUAACUAGAGGCUGGGGGCAUAGUAACUAGAGGCUGGGGGCAUAGUAACUAAAGGCUGGGGGCAUAGUAACUAGAGGCUGGGGGCAUAGUAACUAAAGGCUGGGGGCAUAGUAACUAAAGGCAUAGUAACUAGAGGCUGGGGGCAUAGUAACUAAAGACUGGGGGCAUAGUAACUAAAGGCUGGGGACAUAGUAACUAAAGGCUGGGGGCAUAGUAACUAAAGGCUGGGGGCAUAGUAACUAAAGACUGGGGACAUAGUAACUACAGGCUGGGGCAUAGUAACUAAAGGCUGGGGGCAUAGUAACUAGAGGCUGGGGGCAUAGUAACUAAAGACUGGGGACAUAGUAACUAGAGGCUGGGGGCAUAGUAACUAGAGGCUGGGUGCAUAGUAACUAAAGACUGGGGACAUAGUAACUAAAGGCUGGGGGCAUAGUAACUAGAGACUGUCUCUCUAUGCCUCAUGGUCCUAGGUUUUGGGGUAGUUAAAAGGCCAGAGGAUCUGAGGGACCUACUGGGUACAUAACAUAAAGCAUGUCUGAUAGGUAUUGAGCUGCACAAUGGUGGAUUGAUUUAAAAACCAAUAGUGGAAUCCUAAAAUGAAUUCUAACACUCUCAGGCAGCCAGUGCAGAGACCUUAACACC
ensembl:lncRNA